rnacentral:rRNA from 1 species
AAUCUUCGGCAAUGAGCGCAAGCUUGAUCGAGCGAUGCCGCGUGCGGGAUGAAGGCCCUCGGGUUGUAAACCGCUGUCGUAGGGGAGUAAUGGCCAGGGGGUUCUCCCUCUGGUUUGAACAAUCCUAGGAGGAAGGACGGGCUAAGUUCGUGCCAGCAGCCGCGGUAAGACGAACCGUCCAAACGUUAUUCGGAAUCACUGGGCUUACAGAGUUCGUAGGCGGUCCCAAAAGUUAGGUGUGAAAUCCCUCGGCUCAACCGAGGAACUGCGCUUAAAACUGUGGGACUCGAGGGAGAUAGAGGAAAGCGGAACUGAUGGUGGAGCGGUGAAAUGCGUUGAUAUCAUCAGGAACACCGGUGGCGAAGGCGGCUUUCUGGGUCUUACCUGACGCUGAGGAACGAAAGCCAGGGGAGCGAAC